AUCCCUUGCUGGAGAUUCCUGCCCAUCUGAGGCCUUCUUGAGUAGUCUAUAUAACAGUGAGUGGCAGGUCAGUGAAUGGUGAUAAGCUGGUCAUCUGCCAAGAAGGAUCUUUCCAUUCUGACCUUCAGUGUAGACUUGGCACUAAGUGUAUUUCCUGUCACUGGGCAAUGUCCUGUCUCUCCUUUAGGUAGAGGAGCGUUCAGAGCACAAGAAGGUUCUGGCAAUACGCACACGCUCAAGCUGCAGCACUUUGCUGAAAGUCUGUAAGAGACAGCAAGCUGUCCCAGGUUGGAAAGGUGCACCUGAGGCUCAGCCAGCACCUCUCAGAGGGUGCUCACCAUGCCCACUUGCCCCAAGAUCCCCCUGCAGGCGCAGGCAGCAGCAGGCUGACAUGCAGCAGAUGCCAGACAUGCUGCAUGGACAGCAGGAAGUGCGUCAGAGGCUGAGCCGUGUGCGUGACUCUGUUACCUGUGAUCUCUGCCACAGUCUCCAUGAGAAAGCAAAUCUCCAAGAUCCAAGAUUCUAUAUCUGGAUACAUCGCCGAUUAGUCUUGCAAUGACAAAAGGAUCAUGGAUUAAAUUAUUAAAUUGAUUAAAUUAAAUUUGCCUCAAAUUACCUGCUCCAGAAGCACUGCCUGCUGCCUUCUUAUGGGGGAUGUAAGAAGAAAAAGUCAAGAUGGAGCUUAACUUUGGAAUGGCAGCUGCAUCCUACACCCCCACCCCCAAGCGGACAGGCAACCCAUGUUGGUUACCAGUAUGAUGGUUACCACCAUCACAACAAACCUGCAGCUAUGAAAAUCAACACUGCAAAAUGCACUAACAGUGGUUGAGAUUGAUACAGAAGAGGUUCAAAACUUCCUGGUAACUUUGGAAGCAAAACCAGUGAAGCAGCAGAAGUUCAAAUCAGAUAUGUAUUCGUAUGCAUCCUGAGAAAAAGAAACCUUUCACUCCAAACUUAAACAGUACUAAAACACAGAGACCUGGCAAAAUCCUCUCAAACGGCUGUGUUAUCACAGAGUAUUUUGGUGAGUCUUCAGUGUCUACAGACUGGGAUAGAGGAGUAUUAUUUAGAAAGAUGACAAAGAAGUCACAAAGGGUUAGAAAUAACAGAAUAACAACAGAAAGUGUAGGUGUUACUCCAAAUCUUAACACUAAAAGAGAAAGUUAAAAGUCAAUGCAGAAAUACAGGGCAGCAUUACAGAAUUAAAACACAGCAAUGUGACAGAAACAGCAGCAAAAUCUACCAAAUGAAUCUGCUGCAACAGGAGAUGGUGUCUAAAAUAAAGUAAUGAAGCAUGUACGCAAGCACACACAACUGUAUGUGUAUAGAUAAGUUUAAAUGCCUACAGUAAUAGACCAACAUUUAACUUGUGUUGAGAAAAUAGCAAUAAAGGUCAUGGAGCAGAAAGCAGCCUGGAAAAGCUAUUGAUUUUUGGCUUGGUGGUUAUAUUU